AAUACAUGCAAGUCGAGCGAAUGGAUUAAGAGCUUGCUCUUAUGAAGUUAGCGGCGGACGGGUGAGUAACACGUGGGUAACCUGCCCAUAAGACUGGGAUAACUCCGGGAAACCGGGGCUAAUACCGGAUAACAUUUUGAACCGCAUGGUUCGAAAUUGAAAGGCGGCUUCGGCUGUCACUUAUGGAUGGACCCGCGUCGCAUUAGCUAGUUGGUGAGGUAACGGCUCACCAAGGCAACGAUGCGUAGCCGACCUGAGAGGGUGAUCGGCCACACUGGGACUGAGACACGGCCCAGACUCCUACGGGAGGCAGCAGUAGGGAAUCUUCCGCAAUGGACGAAAGUCUGACGGAGCAACGCCGCGUGAGUGAUGAAGGCUUUCGGGUCGUAAAACUCUGUUGUUAGGGAAGAACAAGUGCUAGUUGAAUAAGCUGGCACCUUGACGGUACCUAACCAGAAAGCCACGGCUAACUACGUGCCAGCAGCCGCGGUAAUACGUAGGUGGCAAGCGUUAUCCGGAAUUAUUGGGCGUAAAGCGCGCGCAGGUGGUUUCUUAAGUCUGAUGUGAAAGCCCACGGCUCAACCGUGGAGGGUCAUUGGAAACUGGGAGACUUGAGUGCAGAAGAGGAAAGUGGAAUUCCAUGUGUAGCGGUGAAAUGCGUAGAGAUAUGGAGGAACACCAGUGGCGAAGGCGACUUUCUGGUCUGUAACUGACACUGAGGCGCGAAAGCGUGGGGAGCAAACAGGAUUAGAUACCC
rnacentral:rRNA from 1 species